AUGUUGAAAGCCAGAGACAUAGGAGAGCAUCAUUCUUUUGAGAUAUAUAACUCAAACCAACUUUGGAGUAGUCUGAUUUGGAGAGUCAUGAUCCUUGGUCUUCCUUUCUUAAAGGAAUCGUUCACACACACACAAAAAAAUAAUUUACUUGCCCUCAUGUCAUUCCAAACCUAUAAGACUUUUGUCUGUCUUUACAACACAAAUUAAUAUAUUUUAAAUUUUCUCAUAAUUAUUUGUUAAUCCAUUGAGAGUCUAGAUAAUUGGCAUUUUCAAGCCUCUUAAAUACAGAGUUAUUGUAGAAGUAAUCCAUUCCGAUAUUUACAUAUGAAUAAAUCUUAAAUUAUAUGAUAGCGAACAUGUCUGUUCAAAAGAAAAUAUUGGUCUCCCCAACUAGCAAUGGAGGACAAAAAUUAAGAGAAUAUUAAAUAUAUUUAUUUGUGUUCCAAAAAUUAGCAGAGUUUGUAUGGGUCUGGAACAACAUGGGGGAGAGUAAAUUGACCAUUUUAAUUUUUUGGUGGACUAACCCUUCGAAGAGCAGCCCUUCACGUACAUGAACAUUUGUGAGGCCACUGAUGAAGAACAGGCGGUGACUGUGAUGAAUGCUGGUUGGAGAAGAGAAUGUCAUUUCCCCUAAACUGAUGCAGCAGUGGUUUUAAAGGAGGAUGCUGCCCUGGAUGAUGUAGAAGAUGCCACAUGCUGUGCUGAUGGGGCUUCUUCAUGACUACAUUAGUUAUGCUAAAGAGAUCAUGAAAAUUGACAGUGAUGCAUGAUCUGUAUUCAUGGACUAUGAAACAAACUGUAAGUGUAUAAUUUGUA